GACGAACGCUGGCGGCGUGCCUAACACAUGCAAGUCGAACGGAAAGGCCCUGCUUUUGUGGGGUUCUCGAGUGGCGAACGGGUGAGUUACACGUGAGUAACCUGCCCUUGACUUUGGGAUAUCUUCAGACAACUGGGGCUACUACAGGAGAGGAGCUCCUGCUGCUUGGUGGGGGUUGGAAAGCUUCGGCGGUUGGGGAUGGACUCGCGGCUUACCAGCUUGUUGGUGGGGUAGUGGCUUACCAAGGCUUUGACGGGUAGCCGGCCUGGGAGGGGGACCGGGCACAUUAGGCCUGAGAUACGGCCCAGACUCCUACGGGAGGCAGCGGUGGAGAGUAUGGCACAGUGGGCGGGAGCCUGAUACGACGGCGCCGCGUGCGGGAAGACCUCCUUCGGGUUGUGAACCGCUUUCGCCUGAGACGAUGCGUGAGUGACGGUAAUGGGUAAAGAAGCACCGGCUAACUACGUG
rnacentral:rRNA from 1 species